UACGAAGGGGGCUAGCGUUGCUCGGAAUCACUGGGCGUAAAGCGCACGUAGGCGGGUCUUUAAGUCAGGGGUGAAAUCCUGGAGCUCAACUCCAGAACUGCCUUUGAUACUGAGGAUCUCGAGUCCGGGAGAGGUGAGUGGAACUCCGAGUGUAGAGGUGAAAUUCGUAGAUAUUCGGAAGAACACCAGUGGCGAAGGCGGCUCACUGGCCCGGUACUGGACGCUGAGGUGCGAAAGCGUGGGGAGCAACAGGG
rnacentral:rRNA from 1 species